CCGUGCCUGAAACACAGAAACGGAAACUGUUUCCAUGAAACUGUUUUCAUGACAACAACAGACUGGUGUUGGGCCACGGAGGAACUGAAUUAGAAAUGACUUUAAAUUAUUUAAGCUACAAUUACAAACGAACUUCUCAGAUAAGCAGAGCUGAAGAAAGAAAAAUAUGAAAACAUCCAAAAGCUUUAGAGCUGUGGGCCAAACAUGUUCAGGCAGAUCUCUACAAUGCAUGAGCAGCAGAGCUGACGGCCUGAGACCCAGCACAAACACUGUGGAUUCAGACGUCCACAGACGCUGGAGGACCGCCGCCUUCACUGAGGUCCAAGAAACUCACAUAAACAUGUCAAUAAAGCAAACCUACAAGCGCAA